UUUUACGAUUCUUAACAACAUUAUGUUACUUGUUCUACUUCUAUUGGGAUUAUAUCACAGUAAUUACUCGAAAAUUUGUGCAAAAAAAAUAAACGAAAUCGACAAGACGCUUCAAACGUUAGGUUCACCGUCAUAUUUCAACAGCAUUUAUAAAAGAACGAUAUGUGAAAUUACGAUCGUUAUUAUUUACUUAAUUAUACAAAACAUUGUAAUCGCCGCUGGAAUGAUUUCAUACAAUACCUUAAAUACCAGUUUUUUGUUCAUAUUUUCUUGUAUAUUUUUUUAUUUUUAUUUUGCUCUGGUAGAAUUUAUGACGUUGAUUGAUUUUAUUACAGUUGUAAGGUGCAUUAAAUCGGAAUUUAAACGUGGAAACGAACUUUUAAGCGACGUUAAUGUUUUACCGAUUUCUUCAAUCGCAUCGGAAAUAAUUGAUCGCAAACAAACCCAUGAUGGUUCUUUGUACAUUGA